rnacentral:rRNA from 1 species
AUUGAACGCUGGCGGCAUGCUUUACACAUGCAAGUCGAACGGCAGCGCGGGCUUCGGCCUGGCGGCGAGUGGCGAACGGGUGAGUAAUGCAUCGGAACGUGCCCAGUAGUGGGGGAUAGCCCGGCGAAAGCCGGAUUAAUACCGCAUACGACCUGAGGGUGAAAGCGGGGGACCGAAAGGCCUCGCGCUAUUUGAGCGGCCGAUGUCGGAUUAGCUAGUUGGUGGGGUAAAGGCUUACCAAGGCGACGAUCCUUAGCUGGUCUGAGAGGACGACCAGCCACACUGGGACUGAGACACGGCCCAGACUCCUACGGGAGGCAGCAGUGGGGAAUUUUGGACAAUGGGGGCAACCCUGAUCCAGCCAUGCCGCGUGCGGGAAGAAGGCCUUCGGGUUGUAAACCGCUUUUGUUCGGGAAGAAAUCCUCUGGGCUAAUACCCCGGGGGGAUGACGGUACCGGAAGAAUAAGCACCGGCUAACUACGUG